rnacentral:rRNA from 1 species
CGGGCGCGGCGCCGGUCUAAGUUCCUUGGAACGGGGCGUCAUAGAGGGUGAGAAUCCCGUAUGUGACCGAUGACCAAGCCCAUGUGAAGCUCCUUCGACGAGUCGAGUUGUUUGGGAAUGCAGCUCAAAAUGGGUGGUAAAUUUCAUCUAAAGCUAAAUACCGGCCAGAGACCGAUAGCGCACAAGUAGAGUGAUCGAAAGAUGAAAAGCACUUUGGAAAGAGAGUCAAAAAGUACGUGAAAUUGUUGAAAGGGAAGCGCUUGCAACCAGACCUGCGCGCGGGCGAUCAGCCGUCCUUCUGGGCGGCGUACGCGCCCGCGAACAGGCCAGCAUCGGUUCGGGCGGCCGGAUAAAGGCCUUGGGAACGUAGCUCCUCUCGGGGAGUGUUAUAGCCCAAGGUGGCAUGCGGCCAGCGAGGACCGAGGACCGCGCUUUGGCAAGGAUGCUGGCGUAAUGGUUGUAAGCGGCCCGUCUUGAAACACGGACCAAGGAGUGGAACAUCUAUGCGAGUGUUUGGGUGUCAAACCCUUGCGCGGAAUGAAAGUGAACGGAGGUGGGAACCCGUCCAGGGCGCACCAUCGA